GAUGAACGCUGGCGGCGUGCCUAAUACAUGCAAGUCGAGCGAACGGACGAGAAGCUUGCUUCUCUGAUGUUAGCGGCGGACGGGUGAGUAACACGUGGAUAACCUACCUAUAAGACUGGGAUAACUUCGGGAAACCGGAGCUAAUACCGGAUAAUAUUUUGAACCGCAUGGUUCAAAAGUGAAAGACGGUCUUGCUGUCACUUAUAGAUGGAUCCGCGCUGCAUUAGCUAGUUGGUAAGGUAACGGCUUACCAAGGCAACGAUGCAUAGCCGACCUGAGAGGGUGAUCGGCCACACUGGAACUGAGACACGGUCCAGACUCCUACGGGAGGCAGCAGUAGGGAAUCUUCCGCAAUGGGCGAAAGCCUGACGGAGCAACGCCGCGUGAGUGAUGAAGGUCUUCGGAUCGUAAAACUCUGUUAUUAGGGAAGAACAUAUGUGUAAGUAACUGUGCACAUCUUGACGGUACCUAAUCAGAACGCCACGGCUAACUACGUGCCAGCAGCCGCGGUAAUACGUAGGUGGCAAGCGUUAUCAGGAAUUAUUGGGCGUAAAGCGCGCGUAGGCGGUUUUUUAAGUCUGAUGUGAAAGCCCACGGCUCAACCGUGGAGGGUCAUUGGAAACUGGAAAACUUGAGUGCAGAAGAGGAAAGUGGAAUUCCAUGUGUAGCGGUGAAAUGCGCAGAGAUAUGGAGGAACACCAGUGGCGAAGGCGACUUUCUGGUCUGUAACUGACGCUGAUGUGCGAAAGCGUGGGGAUCAAACAGGAUUAGAUACCCUGGUAGUCCACGCCGUAAACGAUGAGUGCUAAGUGUUAGGGGGUUUCCGCCCCUUAGUGCUGCAGCUAACGCAUUAAGCACUCCGCCUGGGGAGUACGACCGCAAGGUUGAAACUCAAAGGAAUUGACGGGGACCCGCACAAGCGGUGGAGCAUGUGGUUUAAUUCGAAGCAACGCGAAGAACCUUACCAAAUCUUGACAUCCUUUGACAACUCUAGAGAUAGAGCUUUCCCCUUCGGGGGACAAAGUGACAGGUGGUGCAUGGUUGUCGUCAGCUCGUGUCGUGAGAUGUUGGGUUAAGUCCCGCAACGAGCGCAACCCUUAAGCUUAGUUGCCAUCAUUAAGUUGGGCACUCUAAGUUGACUGCCGGUGACAAACCGGAGGAAGGUGGGGAUGACGUCAAAUCAUCAUGCCCCUUAUGAUUUGGGCUACACACGUGCUACAAUGGACAAUACAAAGGGCAGCGAAACCGCGAGGUCAAGCAAAUCCCAUAAAGUUGUUCUCAGUUCGGAUUGUAGUCUGCAACUCGACUACAUGAAGCUGGAAUCGCUAGUAAUCGUAGAUCAGCAUGCUACGGUGAAUACGUUCCCGGGUCU
rnacentral:rRNA from 1 species